AAGUCGUAACAAGGUUUCCGUAGGUGAACCUUCGGAAGGAUCAUUACACACGUAGGCUUACGCCUUAGUGCCCCCAACCGCUUAGGUAUAGGGGAUUCUUACCACCCUUGUCUUGUGAGCACCUUUGUUUCCUCGGCGGGUUCGCCUGCCAGCGGGACAUCGCAACCCUUUGCAGUAGCUGUUUUUGUCUGAAACAAGCAAACAAUCAAAACUUUCAACAACGGAUCUCUUGGUUCUG
rnacentral:misc_RNA from 1 species